AAGACGGUGAAUCAACGUCACAAUAUCAACGUUGAUCCAAUUUGCAAAAUCGAAAGGUAAUUCAACGUUGACUGAACCCUGGUACCUGACGUUGUUUCAGCGUUGAAAUGCCGGCGGGGGAGGAACAUUUUCCCGGGAUCUGGCAACCGCUCUCCUCAUGAAUGAAAGUGAAAGUAAAUGACCAGAGUUGAUGUGGACAUUUUAAACAGACAGAAUCGAUGAUCUACAAUACAUUAUAUCUAUAAAUCUUUAAUAGAAUCGCUAAUAAACGCUAAAUCGGGAGUUUGUGUCGAGUUACCGGAUGGGAAUGUGAAUCGAGUCAGUGGAGGUCAAACUGUUCAGAUCCAUCAUGGAUGAAACACAAACUUCUGGAGAUGAAGAUUUGUUUCCAGCACACAGGUACUUUGAGAAACACAUUAAACAAACUAUUAUGAUAUAGAAGAGAUGGCUGUCUACAUGAUACAUAAAUAAAUGUGACCGGAGCAGUAUUUUUCUUUAGUAUAAUUAAGUCCAGAUAGCACUGACUGACUACGCCACCUUGGGAAUUGCACCCAAGGGAAUAUGAAAGGAACCCAGGUUCGGUGGUGCAGUGAAAAGACAGAGUCGCUUCAUCCAAUAAACAAAUGAAUUUUAUUUAAAAGGAAAAAUGUCCUAUGAACAUCAUUUAAUCAGUGUAAAUUACAGCAAGUUUAUUAGGACAACGCCAAAGUUUACAAUGUUAAAAGAACAUUCCUCCAGACAUAUACGAUUUACAGUACUGAAUCACAAACUAAAUAAAGAAAAGAAACACUAUACUGUUCCCAUAAAACGAAGCACACAAAAAUAAAUAAAUAAAUAAAUAAAUAAAGGAAUAGAAACUGCAAGGCUAAAGCUUACUUUAGGGGUGGCAAGCUAGCUGGAAACAAUUGUGCUCUCAACCACUUACGUGUGCACGGCAAACAAAAUAGGAAGAGGUGCUCAAACCCUGGUGCUCCAAACUCACAGCAAAUGUGUGCACCCAGUUGACUAGCCUCCCCCUCGGCGCACUCAGCCUUGACUCGAACCAAAAAAAACAAAAAGAAAAAUUAGUAAGUUAGGUGAAAUACAAAAUCGUCACGAUCACAUCAGGCACAAAUAUAAUGAUUACACACUGCUAAAUAAUGACACCACACAGCCACUACAGCCCAAAACACACUGGUCAAACCGUUUCCAAAUAAAAACCAAACCAUAAAAAAUAAAA